rnacentral:rRNA from 1 species
UUUCUUGACUCUUAAAAGGUCUUGGAAUAAGGGGUGGGUAAGGACGGUGCCAGCCGCCGCGGUAAUACCGGCGCCUCAAGUGGUAGUCGAUUUUAUUGGGCCUAAAACGUCCGUAGCCGGUUUGAUACAUUCGUGGGUAAAUCAACCAGCUCAACUGGUUGAAUUCUGCGAGGACGGCCAGACUUGGGACCGGGAGAGGUGUGGGGUACGCUCAGGGUAGGGGUAAAAUCCUGUCAUCCUGAGCGGACCACCUGUUGCGAAGGCGCCACACUAGAACGGAUCCGACGGUCAGGGACGAAGCCUAGGGGCACGAACCGGAUUAGAUACCCGGGUAGUCCUAGGUGUAAACGCUGUGGACUUGGUGUUGGGGACUCUCCGAGAUCCCUCAGUGCCGAAGCGAAGGUGAUAAGUCCACUGCCUGGGGAGUAC